rnacentral:misc_RNA from 1 species
GAACGCACCUUGCGCCCUUUGGCUAUUCCGAAGGGCAUGCCUGUUCGAGCGUCAUUUCACCACUCAAGCCUGGCUUGGUGUUGGGCGACGUCCCCUUUGGGGACGCGCCUCGAAACGCUCGGCGGCGUGGCACCGGCUUUAAGCGUAGCAGAAUCUUUCGCUUUGGAAGUCGGGGCCCCGUCUGCCGGAAGACCUACUCGCAAGGUUGACCUCGGAUCAGGCAGGGAUACCCGCUGAACUUAAG